CCCUUUGGGUGUGACUGCGUACCUUUUGUAUAAUGGGUCAGCGACUUAUAUUCUGUAGCAAGGUUAACCGAAUAGGGGAGCCGGAGGGAAACCGAGUCUUAACCGGGCGUUAAGUUGCAGGGUAUAGACCCGAAACCCGGUGAUCUAGCCAUGGGCAGGUUGAAGGUUGGGUAACACUAACUGGAGGACCGAACCGACUAAUGUUGAAAAAUUAGCGGAUGACCUGUGGCUGGGGGUGAAAGGCCAAUCAAACCGGGAGAUAGCUGGUUCUCCCCGAAAGCUAUUUAGGUAGCGCCUCGUGAAUUCAUCUCCGGGGGUAGAGCACUGUUUCGGCUAGGGGGCCAUCCCGGCUUACCAACCCGAUGCAAACUGCGAAUACCGGAGAAUGUUAUCACGGGAGACACACGGCGGGUGCUAACGUCCGUCGUGAAGAGGGAAACAACCCAGACCGCCAGCUAAGGUCCCAAAGUCAUGGUUAAGUGGGAAACGAUGUGGGAAGGCCCAGACAGCCAGGAUGUUGGCUUAGAAGCAGCCAUCAUUUAAAGAAAGCGUAAUAGCUCACUGGUCGAGUCGGCCUGCGCGGAAGAUGUAACGGGGCUAAACCAUGCACCGAAGCUGCGGCA
rnacentral:rRNA from 1 species